GGCAAACGGUGGCCAAACUUCAUUGCUGUUGACUUUUAUCAGAGGAGUGAUGGUGGGGGCGCCCCAGAAGCUGUGGAUGAAGUGAAUGGUCACCUUACUUGUGGAUGAUGUGACAAUAUUGCCUACUGCAGGGCAAAUGCAACAAGUGGCACGUGUGAUGUCCCGCCAAUUGCCCCCCCUCCCCCUGCUGCUGCUACUGGAAACUCACAAACUCCC
rnacentral:misc_RNA from 1 species